rnacentral:rRNA from 1 species
AGCGAACGCUGGCGGCAGGCUUAACACAUGCAAGUCGAACGGAUCCUUCGGGAUUAGUGGCGGACGGGUGAGUAACACGUGGGAACGUGCCUUUUGGUUCGGAACAACACAGGGAAACUUGUGCUAAUACCGGAUGUGCCCUUCGGGGGAAAGGAUUAUCGCCAUUAGAGCGGCCCGCGUCUGAUUAGCUAGUUGGUGAGGUAAAGGCUCACCAAGGCUACGAUCAGUAGCUGGUC